CCCGCCCCUCCUCCUCUUCCCCGUCCACGCCUGGGGGGUAUAUAAGGCGAACCCAGAGGCAGGAAGGGCGUAUUGGCCUUCUCAGAGGCACGGAAAAGACUCUUUCUCUCACCCCCAAGAUGAAGCUGAUUUCAAUGUUGAUGGCUCUAGUUGUGGCCCUGUCUGGCCUCCUGGGUUCAGCUCGUGCCAUGCCUGACCCCUUCCCCGUGGCUGACCCCGUGGCUGACCCUGACCCCGCGGCUGACCCCUGGUUCUUUAGACGCAGGUACCACUACCCACACUACCACCACUACCCCCGCUAUCAUCACCACCACCACUGGUGAAAAAAAUGUCUUUUCUCUCUUAAAAAAAUAGUUCCCAAAAUGUAACAAUAUAUUUCAUUCCGGUGACUUUGUAUACCAAUGUACGAUUUAUGCUUUUUCGGUCCUCUUGCUGUAAGAAUAAAAUCUUAAAGAUGA